rnacentral:rRNA from 1 species
UACGAAGGGGGCUAGCGUUGUUCGGAAUCACUGGGCGUAAAGGGCGCGUAGGCGGCCGAUCAAGUCGGGGGUGAAAGCCUGUGGCUCAACCACAGAAUGGCCUUCGAUACUGUUUGGCUUGAGACCGGAAGAGGUCAGUGGAACUGCGAGUGUAGAGGUGAAAUUCGUAGAUAUUCGCAAGAACACCAGUGGCGAAGGCGGCUGACUGGUCCGGUUCUGACACUGAGGAGCGAAAGCGUGGGGAGCGAUCCGG